rnacentral:lncRNA from 1 species
UGACCGUUAAAUUCAGUGGAAAUUCUAUUGUGCCAGUUUGGGGCCUAGACUUUAACAAAACUAGCAGUUUCUGCUUUCUUCCUCUUGGAACCCAGCCCCUGUGCUGUGAGGAAGCCCAAGCAACCUCGUGGAAAAGUCCAUAGGAAGAAGAAUCAAGGCCUGUAGACAGCAGCGCCAACUGAGCUACCAGCUGGCAGCCAUCAACAAUUUGUUUGCCACUGAAGACAAGAACUUGAUGAUUCAUAAAGCUUUGUGAAGUGUGGUUACUGCAAGACUUGGAGUAGUUUGAAAGAAACUUGUGACUUCUAAAAGCAGCUGAGAGAAAGGAGGAAAUAGCUAAUGCAACAAGCCUUCCUCUCACAAAAGGAAGCCAUUUACAUAACUCUGAGCUUCUGAAGGAAGACACAAAGUGAGAUGAAUGAAUUUAAAAUUUCCUCAACUUGCUGUCAAGAAAGGAGCUGGAAGCAAAGCCAAGGAUCUCAGUUUUCAUUCCUGUUUAUACUUCUGGCUUAUUAAAAC